GAUGAACGCUGGCGGCGUGCCUAAUACAUGCAAGUCGAGCGAACGGACGAGAAGCUUGCUUCUCUGAUGUUAGCGGCGGACGGGUGAGUAACACGUGGAUAACCUACCUAUAAGACUGGGAUAACUUCGGGAAACCGUAGCUAAUACCGGAUAAUAUUUUGAACCGCAUGGUUCAAAAGUGAAAGACGGUCUUGCUGUCACUUAUAGAUGGAUCCGCGCUGCAUUAGCUAGUUGGUAAGGUAACGGCUUACCAAGGCAACGAUGCAUAGCCGACCUGAGAGGGUGAUCGGCCACACUGGAACUGAGACACGGUCCAGACUCCUACGGGAGGCAGCAGUAGGGAAUCUUCCGCAAAGGGCGAAAGCCUGACGGAGCAACGCCGCGUGAGUGAUGAAGGUCUUCGUAUCGUAAAACUCUGUUAUUAGGGAAGAACAUAUGUGUAAGUAACUGUGCACAUCUUGACGGUACCUAAUCAGAAAGCCACGGCUAACUACGUG
rnacentral:rRNA from 1 species